UUUUCACAGUCAUCUUUCAUGAUAAGUUAUUGUAGAAGAAUUUAGGUUUGGAAAUGGGUCUUGAUAUGAAAGCCAGUGAGAGAGAAAGAGCAAGGUUUGAGUCAACCAAUUAAAAGCAAUAGAUCACAUCAAGAUGAGUAUAUCUUCUGUUUGUUGGGACAUAAUCCAGAGAGGAUCUUUCUCCCCAGAUAUUAUAGGAUGGCC
rnacentral:lncRNA from 1 species